rnacentral:rRNA from 1 species
AGCGAACGCUGGCGGCAGGCCUAACACAUGCAAGUCGAGCGCCGUAGCAAUACGGAGCGGCAGACGGGAUAGCAACACGUGGGAACGUGCCCUUUGGUUCGGAAUAACUCAGGGAAACUUGAGCUAAUACCGGAUAAGCCCUUACGGGGAAAGAUUUAUUGCCAUUGGAGCGGCCCGCGUCGGAUUAGCUAGUUGGUGAGGUAAUGGCUCACCAAGGCGACGAUCCGUAGCUGGUCUGAGAGGAUGACCAGCAUCACUGGGACUGAGACACGGCCCAGACUCCUACGGGAGGCAGCAGUGGGGAAUAUUGGACAAUGGGCGCAAGCCUGAUCCAGCCAUGCCGCGUGGAUGAUGAAGGCCCUAGGGUUGUAAAGUCCUUUUAACGGGGAAGAUAAUGACGGUACCCGUAGAAUAAGCCCCGGCUAACUUCGUGCCAGCAGCCGCGGUAACAC